AGAUUGAACGCUGGCGGCAGGCCUAACACAUGCAAGUCGAGCGGCAGCACGGGUACUUGUACCUGGUGGCGAGCGGCGGACGGGUGAGUAAUGCCUAGGAAUCUGCCUGGUAGUGGGGGAUAACGCUCGGAAACGGACGCUAAUACCGCAUACGUCCUACGGGAGAAAGCAGGGGACCUUCGGGCC
rnacentral:rRNA from 1 species